rfam:Gorilla gorilla gorilla genomic chromosome, chr19, whole genome shotgun sequence
GCUGGGUGCGGUGGCUCAUGCCUGUAAUCCUAGCACUUUGGGAGGCUGAGGUGGGUGGAUCACCUGAGGUCAGGAAUUCUAGGCCAGCCUGACCAAUACGGUGAAACCCCAUCUUUA